GAUGAACGCUGGCGGCGUGCCUAAUACAUGCAAGUCGAGCGAACAGACGAGGAGCUUGCUCCUCUGACGUUAGCGGCGGACGGGUGAGUAACACGUGGAUAACCUACCUAUAAGACUGGGAUAACUUCGGGAAACCGGAGCUAAUACCGGAUAAUAUAUUGAACCGCAUGGUUCAAUAGUGAAAGACGGUUUUGCUGUCACUUAUAGAUGGAUCCGCGCCGCAUUAGCUAGUUGGUAAGGUAACGGCUUACCAAGGCAACGAUGCGUAGCCGACCUGAGAGGGUGAUCGGCCACACUGGAACUGAGACACGGUCCAGACUCCUACGGGAGGCAGCAGUAGGGAAUGUUCCGCAAUGGGCGAAAGCCUGACGGAGCAGCGCCGCGUGAGUGAUGAAGGUCUUCGGAUCGUAAAACUCUGUUAUUAGGGAAGAACAAAUGUGUAAGUAACUAUGCACGUCUUGACGGUACCUGAUCAGAAAGCCACGGCUAACUACGUG
rnacentral:rRNA from 1 species